rnacentral:rRNA from 1 species
GGCGAUCGAUCCGUAGCUGGUACUGAAGAGGAAUGAUCAGUCACANCUGGAACUGAGACAUCGGUCCAUGACUCCUAGCGGGAGGCACCAGUGGGGAAUAUUGGACAAUGGACGAAAGCCUGAUCCAACCAUGCCACGUGUAUGAAGAAUGUCUUCGGAUUGUAAAGCACUUUAAGUUGAGGAGGAAGGGCAGUAAGUUAAUACCUUGCUGUUUUGACGUUACCAACAGAAUAAGCANCCGACUAACUUCCUGCCAGCAGCCGCGGUAAUACGAAGGGUGCAAGCGUUAAUCAGNAAUUACUGGGCGUAAAGCGCGCGUAGGUGGUUCGUUAAGUAGGAUGUGAAAGCCCCAGGCUCAACCUGGGAACUGCAUCCAAAACUGGCGAGCUAGAGUAUAGCACAUGAGUGGUGGAAUUUCCUGUGUAACGGUGAAAUGAGUAGAUAUAGGAAGGAACACCAGUGGCGAACGCGACCNCACGUGGGCUAAUACUGACAAUGAGGUGCGAAAGCGUGAUGAGCAAACAGGAUUAGAUACCCUGGUAGUCCACGCCGUAAACGAUGUCGAAUAGCCAUUGGGAUCCUUGAGAUCUUAGUGGCGCAGCUAACGCAUUAAGUCUGACCGCCUGGGGAGUACGGCCGCAAGGUUAAAACUCAAAUGAAUUGACGGGGGCCCGCACAAGCGGUGGAGCAUGUGGUUUAAAUUAGAAGUCAACGNCGAAGAACCUUACCAGGCCAUGACAUGCAGAGAACUUUCCAGAGAUGGAUUGGUGCCUUCGGGAACUAUGACACAGGUGCUGCAUGGCUGUCGUCAGCUCGUGUCGUGACAUGUCGGGUCAAGUCCCGUAACGAGCACAACCCUUGUCAUUAGCUACCAGCACGUUAAGGUGNGGCACUAUAAGGAGACUGCCGAUGACAAACUCGCAGGAACGUGGCGAUGACGUCAAGUCAUCAUGGCCAUUACGGCCUGGCCUACACACGUGCUACAAUGAUCGCUACAAAGAGUUGACUAAGCCGCGAGGCUGGAGACUAAUCGCCUUAU